UGACGGCCAUAAAAACGCCAGCUUGCCGACGGAGGAGCAGCAGUCGGCUCCGCAACCAUGAGCCCAAGCGUCACCUCCCUCCUGCUCCUGGCCGCCCUGCCAGGCCUGAUGGUGGACGCGACAUUGACCGAAUCCGGAGGCGGCCUCUACGCGCCCGGAGGGACGCUGACCCUCAACUGCCAGGCCUCCGGAUUCACCUUCAGCAGUUAUGGCAUGAAUUGGGUGCGACAGGCGCCCGGCGAGGGGCCGGAAUGGCUCGCAGGUAUUAGCAGCACUGGUGGUAGCACAGGAUACGGGUCGGCGGUGAAGGGCCGUGCCACCAUCUCGAGGAACAACGAUCAGAGCACGGUGAGCCUGCAGCUGAACACCCUGACGACCGACGACACCGCCACCUAUUACUGCGCGAAAGCUGCUGGUCACGGUGACUCCCAACCACGGCGCCGCUGGCACAAAACCCAACGGUUCAACACGGGGUGGUGAAACGCGACCGAGAGG